rnacentral:rRNA from 1 species
GACGAACGCUGGCGGCGUGCUUAACACAUGCAAGUGGAGCGACGAACCAGGGCUUGCCCUGGGGCAGAGCCGCGAACGGGUGAGUAACACGUGGGUAACGUGCCCCAAUGAUCGGGACAACCCGGGGAAACCCGGGCUAAUACCGAAUGUGCCCCCCUCACACCAGUGAGGGAUGGAAAGAAAUCUUCGGCCUCCGCUUCGGGAGGGACCUGCGUCCCAUCAGCGAGUUGGUGAGGUAAUGGCCCACCAAGGCUACGACUGGUAGGGGACCUGAGAGGGUGGUCCCCCACACUGGCACUGAAACACGGGCCAGACACCUACGGGUGGCAGCAGUAGGGAAUAUUGGGCAAUGGGCGAAAGCCUGACCCAGCAACGCCGCGUGCAUGAUGAAGGUCUUCGGAUCGUAAAAUGCUUUUCUGAGAGAUGAGAAAGGACAGUAUCUCAGGAAUAAGUCUCGGCUAACUACGUGCCAGCCGCCGCGGUAACAC